rnacentral:rRNA from 1 species
AGUGACACAGGGAGGUAGUGACAAGGACACUGUCAGAGGUGAAAUUCUUAGACAGUGACACAGGGAGGUAGUGACAAGAAAUAACAAUACGGGGCUUAAAGUCUUGUAAUUGGAAUGAUGGGAAUUUAAACCUCUUCCAGAGUAUCAAUUGGAGGGCAAGUCUGGUGCCAGCAGCCGCGGUAAUUCCAGCUCCAAUAGCGUAUAUUAAAAUUGUUGCAGUUAAAAAGCUCGUAGUUGAAUUUCUGCUGCAUUGCUUGUGUCCCUCCGGGGUCUGUGCAUGUGGCUUUUUUCGGACGGAGUUUCUUUGUCUGAAUGUUUACUUUGAGAAAAUUAGAGUGCUCAAAGCAGGCUUUUGCCUUGAAUAGUUUAGCAUGGAAUAAUAAAGUAGGACUUUGGUUCUAUUUUGUUGGUUUUAGGUACCAAAGUAAUGGUUAAUAGGAACAGUUGGGGGCAUUCGUAUUUAACUGUCAGAGGUGAAAUUCUUAGACAGUGACACAGGGAGGUAGUGACAAG